CUCAAGGUCCUGCAGGACAUUAUCAGAAACAUGAGACAUCUCGGAUGGUAUUCAAGGAUGUGAACUAAAGCCUCCCUCAUUCUUUCAGAUGAAUGUUAGUCAAUUUAGCAAGGAGAGAUACAAGAGGGCAGUGUUCCACCCUGAUUAUGCAGCCGUGAUUGAAUUUUGAGUAAGAAAUGUUGAUUCUCUGGAGCAGAGCUGAAGAAGGAAUAGGUAUUCGUAAGGAUAGAUAUAAAGAAAAAAAAUACUGGUACAAAAUGGCAAGAAAAGUUUGUGGAAUUCCUUUCCUUGUGGAUUCUUGGAACAAGAACAGACGUGUGAGUUCGGUGCCGAUGUCUCCUGGAAAUGAACGAACUUCUGUCCCCAGGACUGUGAAGUGUACUGUGCCUCAGCCUUAGUUCCCAUGGCCGUCCUGGCCUGGGUGAGUCAUUCUAGCAGUGCAGGACGCCACAGCCAUGCUCAUGCCAACCCACUGGCUCCCAGCCCCCACCCAGAAGGCUGUCGUGGGUGCUCUGACCUCCUUUCUCCUGGCAGAGUCACUGGGAGGUCAUGUCCUCUUCUUGGUGAUUAAUAAAGAUUUCGUGUCUCUCUCCA